rnacentral:rRNA from 1 species
UAGAUACCCUAUUAUACCAAUAAAAUCUUUAAUUAUUAAUAGAUAUAUUCUUUAAAUUUGAAGAAUUUGGCGGUGGCUUAAUCUUAUUAGAGGAACCUGUUUUUGAAUCGAUACACCACGUAGAAUCUUGCUUGUCUUAAUAAGUUUGUAUACCAUCAUUGUCGGAUGAUUUUGAAAAGAAAUAAUUAUUGGAAGUUGCAUAAAAGCAAAUUAAAUUAGAUCAAGGUGCAGCCUAUAGAUAAGCUAAAAUGGGUUACAAUAAAUUUUAUUUAGUAUGGAUUAAUUUCUCGAAAUGGAAUUAUAAAGGAGGAUUUAAUUGUAAUGCGGGUUUAAUAAGCCCGGAAAAUAUCAGCUCUAAGCCAUGUACAUAUCG